GACGAACGCUGGCGGCGUGCUUAACACAUGCAAGUCGAGCGGAAAGGCCCCUUGUGGGUACUCGAGCGGCGAACGGGUGAGUAACACGUGAGUAAUCUGCCCUUCACUUCAGGAGAGCUCCCGGAAACGGGGAUUAAUACUGGAUAUGACACAUUCGCGCAUGAGGGGGUGAGGUAAGUUUUUUCGGUGGGGGAUGUGCUCGCGGCCUAUCAGCUUGAUGGUGGGGUAAUGGCCUAACCUGGCUUCGACGGGUAGCCGGCGUGAGAGGGUGACCGGUGAACCUGUGACUGAGACACGGCCCAGACGCGUACGGGAGGCAGCAGUGGGGAAUAUUGGACAAUGGGCGGAAGCCUGAUCCAGCAACGCCGCGUGAGGGAUGACGGCCUUCGGGUGGUAAACCUCUUUCAGCACAGACGAAGCGCAAGUGACGGUAUGUGCAGAAGAAGGACCGGCCAACUACGUGCCAGCAGCCGCAGUAAGAC
rnacentral:rRNA from 1 species